rnacentral:misc_RNA from 1 species
AACAAGGCGUACCUGCGGACCUGCGGAGGGAUCAUCAAAGAAUUUGACCCUUAUAAAAAAGAGUGCUUCCCCUUAUCCUUAAUAUGAUAAGGGAGGAGUGCUUUUUUCAAACAAACGAUCACAACUAUUGAAAACAAGAUUGGAUUGGAAUGGCUUGGUUGGCUUGAGAAAACAACAAGUGUUUGCCUGAUAAUUUGUUGGAUUGGAAAAAAGAAAAAGAAUACAACUUUUAACAACGGA